AUUGAACGCUGGCGGCAGGCCUAACACAUGCAAGUCGAGCGAGCGGCGGACGGGUGAGUAAUGUAUGGGGAUCUGCCUGAUAGAGGGGGAUAACUACUGGAAACGGUGGCUAAUACCGCAUACUAUCAGAUGAACCCAUAUGGGAUUAGCUAGUUGGUGGGGUAAAGGCUCACCAAGCCGACGAUCCCUAGCUGCUCUGAGAGGAUGACCAUCCACACUGGAACUGAGACACGGCCCAGACUCCUACGGGAGGCAGCAGUGGGGAAGAUUGCACAAUGGGGGCAAUCCUGACGCAGCCAUGCCGCGUGAAUGAAGAAGGCCUUCGGGUUGUAAAGUACUUUCGGUAGCGAGGCGUUAACUACAGAAGAAGCACCGGCUAACUCCGUGCCAGCAGCCGCGGUAAUAC
rnacentral:rRNA from 1 species